GCCCUUGUAGCUCAGUUGGUAGAGCACGUCCAUGGUAAGGACGGGGUCACCAGUUCGAAUCUGGUCAAGGGCU
rnacentral:tRNA from 1 species